UUAGCCUGCAGAGGCAAUGAGAUCAAGAACGGUUAUAAAUGUAAUAUAGGGUUCUACGACUGGAAGCUGCUACUGAUAUCAGUUGCUACUGAUAUCAGCUGUUACGAACUGAUCUGUAAUUUUACUCAACUGGGCCCGAGCCUACUACCGCUGAAAUCAAUGGGAAUUUUGCUAUUGUCUUCAGUGGGAGCAAUGUCAGUGCCACUUAUGGGCACUGUGCCUUCUGAGCAGUGCUGAGUGCCAUUGCCUACCAGUACAAUCAAUGUGACUUGAAGGCAUUUAGCACCUCUUACGAAAGACUUGCCACCUCCCAGGACCGGGCCAUAAAUGAACACUUUACCAGAAUAACCAGCUAUUGAAGCAUCUAACAAAAUUUCCCAAUUUCAACUUAACUGAAAAGAGCUAAAUUAUAGGUAAUUUUUUCUCUCCCAUAAAUGGUCAGCAUGAAGCAUUGCAAAAUUAGAGCCUUCCUGUACUGUACUAAGUGUUUUAUGUAGAUGCUAAGCUAUGCUUAAUGAUUAAUCAGUAUCAUUUAUUAAAAUACAACAGGAAAUAUCAAAAGUGAAGUACUGUGUUAAAACACUCCAGUUCCUUCUGUUUCCUUAUAGUGCCUCUUCAGCAUAAACAUCUGUUACAUAGAUUCCUGAUACUCUGCCAAUGCUAGCUACCAUCAACUUAAUGUCAUAUGCUGAAGAGAAGUGAUGGCAAGACCACAUGGACAGAAAUUUGCUGCUAGUUGCAUAUGCAAAUAAAGGAUUUUAAUCUUCUUCUAUUCGCUAUGUAAAUUCUACUGGCAUUAACAGGAGUUAUUCAGGCAUACCGAGAGAACAGAAGCCCUGGGAGAAAUGAGUUGAUGGUCUCAUUCUAAUUCCUAAUGGGCAAGUGGUCGGAGCAUAGUGAACAUUAUCACAAUUGGUUUUAAAAAAGCCAUUAUUCAGAUUUUACUGAUUUUCAUCCAAAUUUUGGAAGUGCUGGAACUCUCCAGAUGUGGCUCCCUGCUCCAGAAGGAAAGAUGGUGACCUGGUCUCCCUCUCACACAAUCUUCUGACUUGCUCGAGGACAGUUGGUGGCUGCUGCUUCACAGUGGGGGAGUGAGAGGGACAGGGAGCUGGGUCCUGGCAGCUGAGACUGCCUGACUGCUGCAGCAACAGGCUCGCAAGGAGGAAAGACUUCGUCACUGCUACAUUGUGACAUAAUAGCUACCUGCUUAGCUUUCUCCUUCAAGACAAUAAGCUGGGAUCUGUUGAAACUCAUCACAGUCCCAAGGAAUUCCACGUUUUUGGUAAAAGUAUCUGUAUCCAGGCACUGCAGUUCCUGAACUGACC